GACACCAAAAAUAAUCAAAGCAUCAAAGGCUAGAAAUCAUCAACUAACAUCACUAAAAAAACAUUCCAAAUAGGAGAACAACAACCACUGUAAAUAUGUCAAACAACUGAAAAAACAUGAAAAACUGUCUGAAAACUAUGAAAACAAUGAAAGAGAUAGCUGAGGUUCUCCAUGAUACCUCUCUCGCAUACUCCUGGAGUUGCUCCGAGGUGGUGUUGCUGCUCGUGCACCCUUCUUAGGCGGCAUUGGCUCCUGAAGUCCCAAGUCCGACUGUAACCUAGGGGAUCACGCAAUCCAUGAGGUGGGUGACCAACGUAUAACGUGAGCUAGUCUUUCUAGUCCUGUGUGACACCCCGAUUUCGGUUCAACCAUGGGUUCCGGUUUUAGAGACGAACUGGUCGAGUGUUGGGUUUGUAAUUGGUCAACCACAUGCGUGACUGUAGUUAGUCACAGGCAAGAUGAUCAGACUUAUCACAGUUAUGGGGAACAGUUAACCACAUGCAUGAGAGUCAGUAGGCCACGGGCAUGGGUAUGUAUCAACCAACGACAUGGUUGGGUGUUCGCCACGGGCGUGGUGGACUUAUUAUAUAAGUCAAUAUCGGGUUCAGAGACUUAGAAAAACAUAGAGAAAAUAUUAGAGACUCGGCGUCGCUCUCUAGAAGAUAGAGGAGAUCGAUGGUGAGGAAGAAACCAAUGUGAGUAGUCUAGGAUAAGAGGUGGGAGAUUUGAGAGGUUAGGAGAUUCAUGGGAAGGUGAGAAAUCCUCAUCCUCUCUCUCAAUCUCAUGGUUUUGAUUCUUGUAAGAAAACCUAACAGUCCGGUUUUGGAAGAUCCAACCCUCAAUCGGAUUCUUCGAAUGUAUCAGGAUGGGAGGAUCGAGCUUCAGGAAACGGCUUCAGAUCAGACUCUUAGGGAAAGCUAUUUAAGAGGUGGAGGCUAAGAUUACUUUUCUGCUUUAUACGAAGAAUUAUAAUUAGUUAUCAAGAAUCCUGGUUGGAUUUUCAGAAUUGUACAAUAACGUGCGAUCUACUAUAUAGACAGAUGUGUCAUGUAGUUUAGAAUUUAAGGUUGUGUAGUAGUAUGUGAUCUACUGCAUAGACAGUUAUUUAUGUUCGAGCAUAAACUCACAACGAGGAACUGUGCAUGUUUCACAGUUCAUGUUUAGGAUUCAGAAUCAGGACUAGAUAGACUAGCACACAUUAUAUUUUUGUCACCCACCCCAUAGAUUGCACGAUCCCUCAGGUUAAAUUUCACAACAAACAUGGCCAUCCCCUAGCCACGCCCGUAGCCAUGUGACAACCACGCCCGUCGUGGAUCCCUUUACAGUCACUAAACAUCCUUGCUUCUGUGAUACAGAUGUUCGGUGAAGGCUCUUCCUUAGGGCACUUGGUGCAUCUGAAGAACAAGCAUUCCUGAAAUUGAGCAGGAGAGGAUUCUGAGGCUGCUGCUUAUCUUGCCGCCCAAGAGGCGAAUCUGGCUAGGGGCACUGAUCAGGCUGCCGCUAGCAUCCUUAACAUCACCACCACGCUCACGCAUGGAGCGACUAUGGGGUAAGCCCGUCUAGCAUAUCGGGCUGAUUGAUAGGGGAGAGAUCAGGGAGACUCCCUUCGCUGAUUGGGAGGAGCGGGCAGCUAACCUCCUCCAAAAUGGACGUGCAUAGCGUGUCUUUUUGGUGGAUGAGCCUGCCUAUGAGGUGCUCGAGCAUGAGUUCGUAAUGACUUUGUAUGUGGACUCAACGUCGGGCGGACCCGACCAACACUUAUCUUCUCAAUAGCCGGGAAGGUCUGCCACCUCUCCCUCGACGAGCUGGCCAUUGUUUGUGGCUACUACGCCGAGGAAGAUAAGGCCACUGACUGGUUCUAGGGCAUGAUUACCUUUGCUUCUACCAAUUUUUUCCCUCAAUACUGGCUCCAGCUGAUGAGGAGGAACAUCUCUUUUGUUGUUGGUAAGUCAUCUGACCCAAACUUGUAUUUUCCUUAGCUUUAGCAAUUUAUUUGUACGAACUUUUGAUAUGUUUUGCGUGUAGGGGUGACCAAGACUGUUGAGUAGCGAGAUAAACUCCACUGCUUCCUCAACCACAUGAUGGCCCAUACCAUCACUAGCCGGACAGAGAGUACCAGUGUUAUCACUCUUAGGGAGCUGUCCCUUUUGUACUCCUGCGUGGCGAGAGAGCCGCUUCAUCUAGGUUGUCUUUUGGCCUUCACCUUCCGGUCCUUUUGCUUCAACACCUCCCCUAAGGCUCUCCCUAGCGGUGCUUAGAUCACCCGGAUUGCCCAUCACUUAGGCCUUUUGCAGCAUUACUCCCAGGUCCGCUGCUUCCCGUCAGUCCGCAUCGGCAAGGCCACCUUGCUAAAUAUGUGGAUGCUGAGUUGGAUUCACCGUAGCGGUCAGAUUAUCCUACUGGAGACUACUCUUAUCGCGGUGGCUCACCCUGAGGGAGGAGAUGCUACUAUGGCACCACCGGCUCCUCGUCAGCGGAGGGAACCCAACUCGAGGGUGUUGAUUGUAAUUGACCAGCUGUUGGCGCAAUUAUACAACCGCCUGAGCUUCGUCAACUCCAGGCUAAACUAGAUGGAAGCAGGCCUCGCUAGCCAAUACCCGGACAAGCCGGCUACUCCUGUCUAAUUCCCUUACCAGCAGACUGGCAAUGACGGGAAAGAUGAGGAGGAUGAGGAGGAUGAGGAGGAUGAGGAGGAGUGAGCUCGAGGCCCCAACUAUUUUCUAAUCUAUUUUCUUUCCACACUAAUUUUCUUAUGAUGCUUCCUUUCUAAAACUGAAACUGUAUAACUUAAGAUCGAUCUUAUUUAUUUUAGUUCCGAAUUUCUACUUGACCCUUAACUUUUCCUAAAAAAUACAAGAGUCUUCCUCCUCCAUUCUUCCCUUUUCUUCUCUGCUUUUGCCUCCUGAAACUUUUUCUGUUCUUUGUCGACCACACCCGUGGGCCUUCAGUUGGCAACGCCCAUGGUUAGCAUGUCAUCACGGUUGUGGCCACUGCUCUGUCACGCUGUGGCUCAUCACAACCAUGCCCGUGACGGUCUUCUCACCACGGUCGUGGUCGUACUACCAUCACGCCAGUAGCCUACUGUCCGUCACGCCUGUGGCUGACUGCUCUUCGACAAUUUCCAGACCUACUACUAUCUUCAACUUUAGCACAUCUUCCUCAGACAAAGAUUCUGACAGACAAGGAUUCUGAAUCCUCAAAUCAUGCUGAAAGACAAGACAGGUGGAGAUGCUACUCCGGUUCUAAAAAUACAACAAAAAGAUAACUACUUACAUAAAAUUCGACCUAGACUUGCAUUUUCAGAGUUGGUUGGAGUUUUUAUGUCAAUAGUUGUCGUUUUGUUGUAUCUCUACUUGUCUUGUUUUUCACUAUGAUUUGAGGAUUCAAAAUCCUUGUCUGUCAGUAUCAAAAGGUUUCAUAAAUAGUUCAUGUUCAGUUUUUAAUGUUUGUUUGAACCGAGGGGGGGGGGGGUGUUCUAUGAACUAUGAAUCACACACACAGUUCCUCGCUGUGAGCUUUAUGCUCGAAUCAUAGACACAUGUCUGUGUUGUAGAUCACACGCUACUGCACAGCCUGAGCUACUAACUACAUGGCAUAAGUAUUUGUACAAUAGAUCGCGCGCUACUGUACAGUUUCAAAAAUCCAAAUAAGGAUUCCUGACAACUAAAUUAAAAUUCUUCGCAUAAAGCAGAAUAGUAAUCCUAACACCUACCUCUGAAAGCUUUCCUUUGAAGAAUCUGAUCUGAAGCCGUCUCCAUAGAGCUCGAUUUCCUGAUCUAUAUGACCUGAUAGGAUUGAAAUCCCAAAAUCCAAAAUCCAAAUCUGUCAGCAUUUUCUUAUAUAGGAUUCAAAACAAGGGAUUGAGAAAGGAGGAAGGGGUAAAUUACCUUCUGAAACUUCCACAAACCUCUUACUGGUAUGGGAUUGAUCAACAAGCUACUCUCCCCUAUCUAGAACCGAUCGUCGUUCGUGAGAGAUUGCAAAGAAAAAUUAGGUUUCGAUAAACUGAACUCUGGAAUCGCGACUUUGAUUUUAUAAGCUAUCCACCACGCACGUGAUGACCUAGCAACCUCACACGUGGCCUAUUGAUGGUCAAGGUCGUAAUCCUCCAGUCAGCUAUGAAUGUGACUAUCACUGUCCACGACCAUGAUAUGAUGAUCACGUUCGUGACAGAUGAUCAGUCACGCCCGUGACGGUCAAUCUAAUAGUGAUUUUCAGAGACUCACAGAACCGAAACUAAACUCUGAGUCAGAUAUUAACCCGAAAUUGGGGUGUCACAGGUAACUUGCACAUCAUCAAGGGAUAUCAUAACCUGAUAUAACCUAACAUAACAUAGCCACCUACCCAUGACAUAACUGACAUGACAUAAAGUAACCACUUAAUCAUAAAGACAUUGACAUACAAUUAGCCGCAAAGAUCGAGUAAUAUCAUGAAGCGUAACAGAACAUAGUCACUUAACCGUCUAAAGAAUAACGUGACAUAAUGUAACCACUUAAUCAAUCUAGUGAUUUCAUAACGUAGUCUGGCAUGACAUAAUCACUUAACCAUUACAUGAAUUACCUGACAUAGGGUAAUCCGUUAAUUAUGGAAUCAUUGACAUAAACUGAAAUGCCUCAAUCACGUAAUGUUAUAACAUAACCUAACAUAUCCACAUAAUAAUGACAUGAAUGAUUUGACAUAAGGUGAGCACUUAAUCAUGGAAUCACAACAUGGAAUUACGUGCGUUAAAUUACUUAAAACUUGAUUUAACCUAAUGCAACGAUAAGAUUUUACCCCUUUGAACCACCCACCUGAUUGAUUGGUCGAAAUCUCAGAAAAGCGUUUAAGAAGAUUCCCCUUGCCACCACAAAUCCACAGCUUCUAACGGUGUGUUGUUUAGAACUCAAACAGUCAAUUAUGUUCCGGAAAUUCCUUUUGAAAAUGAAUAACUCUCGCAGAACUGUAAUUUCCACUUAUUGGCAAACUACAGAACUGGUCCCUGUACAGUUGAUCGAUUGGAGACCAGACACCCAAUGUUUCCAAGGUUACCAAACAGUUACUGAACUUUACCUGAAAUUUUCCCAAAAUUGAGGGCAGGUCACCAAACUCCCAAAAAUGACGUUUCAGUCAUUCUUCUUCUCCGGCGAGCGCCAAUCAUCUUGGCAACACCGCUCCGCUCUCUGGCCUUCCUCCGCCACCGCUAGUGGUACUAAACGCGGCCCACACGCCUUGCCGCUCGCCACUGUUUCAAUCUCCGCUCCGCUCCAAGGUCGUCGCCGCCGAGCUUUCCCUCAUCCAACGCCGCCACUGCCUCGGUUUUCUCCACGGUAGUCCUCCCUCUUCAAUCCAACGUCAGGAGCGUCUCAACCGCCGUCGCCAAGUUCCAAAUCUCGCUCUCUCUCUCUCUCUCUGAACGCCGGCGCCGCCAACGAUUUCUCUCUCUCCCUCUCUCUCCCAUGGCGGCAACAACAACCCAAGAGGGUGCCAACUCUCCUAGCUCUCUCUCCCGACUCCCUCUCAGCUACAUUAUUGAGUGCUCCCAACAAUUCGGAUAAUAACAAUGC
rnacentral:lncRNA from 1 species